rnacentral:rRNA from 1 species
CGUAGGAUCCUAGCGUUGUCCGGAUUUACUGGGUGUAAAGGGUGCGCAGGCGGACUUGUAAGUCAGAGGUGAAAUCUCGGCGCUUAACGCCGAAACUGCCUUUGAUACUAUAAGUCUUGAGUUUGGUAGAGAUCCGUGGAAUUCCGAGUGUAGCAGUGAAAUGUGUAGAUAUUCGGAAGAACACCAGCGGCGAAGGCAGCGGAUUGGGCCAAUACUGACGCUCAGGCACGAAAGCAUGGGGAUCAAACAGGAUUAGAUACCCUGGUAGUCCAUGCCCUAAACGAUGUACACUUGAUGUCGGCCUUUAACGGGUCGAUGUCGGAGCUAACGUGUUAAGUGUACCACCGUGGGGAGUACGCUCGCAAGGGUG